rnacentral:tRNA from 1 species
GCGCUCAGCUGGUUAGAGCGCAGUGCUGAUAAUGCCAAGGUGGCAGGUUCGAUCCCCGCAUGGGACA